GGGCCUGUAGCUCAGUUGGACAGUAGCGAUCGGCUCCUAGCCGAUUGGUUGCCGGUUCAAAUCCGUCUAGACUCCUCA
rnacentral:tRNA from 1 species